GGCGGAGAGCCAACGUCUGACGGU
rnacentral:tRNA from 1 species